GACGAACGCUGGCGGCGUGCUUAACACAUGCAAGUCGAGCGGUAAGGCCUCUUCGGGGGUACACGAGCGGCGAACGGGGGAGUAACACGUGGGUGACCUGCCGUCAGCUCUGGGUUAAGGCGGGGAAACUGGGUCUAAUACCGCUAAUGACCCUUCCUCCCUUCGGGUGUGGGGGAAAGUUUUUUCGGCUUGGGAUGGUUCCGCGGCCUAACAUCUUGUUGGUGGGGUGGUGGGCUACCAAGGCGACGACGAGGAGCCGGGCUGCUGGGACGACCGGCCAACCUCGACCUGAGGCACCGGCGGGGAUCCUACGAGAGGCAGCAGUGGGGUAUAUUGCGCAAUGCGCGGAAGCCUGACGCACCGACGCCGCGUGGGGGAUGACGGCCGUGGGGUUAUAGCCCUCUUUCGACCCCGACGAGUUUGGACGGUAGGGGUAGAAGAAGCACCGGCCAACUACGUG
rnacentral:rRNA from 1 species